rnacentral:rRNA from 1 species
AAAGAUUAAGCCAUGCAUGUCUAAGCAUAAACCGAAUAUGGUAAAGCCGCGAAUGGCUCAUUACAACAGCCAUAGUUUAUUGGAUCUUAGAGUCCUACUUGGAUACCUGUGGUAAUUCUAGAGCUAAUACACGCAAUCAAGCCCCAACCUUACGGGCGGGGCGCAUUUAUUAGAACAAAACCAAUUGGCUUCGGCCAUAGCUUGGUGAAUCUGAAUAACUACGCUGAUCGCACGGGCUUGUCCCGGCGACGUAUCCUUCAAGUGUCUGCCUUAUCAACUUUCGAUGGUAGUUUAUAUGACUACCAUGGUUGUAACGGGUAACGGAGAAUAAGGGUUCGACUCCGGAGAGGGAGCCUGAGAAACGGCUACCACAUCCAAGGAAGGCAGCAGGCGCGUAAAUUACCCACUCUCAGAACGAGGAGGUAGUGACGAAAAAUAACGAGACAGUUCUCUAUGAGGUCUGUCAUCGGAAUGGGUACAAUCUAAACCCUUUAACGAGGAUCUAUUGGAGGGCAAGUCUGGUGCCAGCAGCCGCGGUAAUUCCAGCUCCAAUAGCGUAUAUUAAAGUUGUUGCGGUUGAAAAGCUCGUAGUUGGAUCUGCGGUCACAGACGCUGGUUUCCUUCACGGAAUACUGGUUGUCUUGACCUACCUUGCUGGUUUUCCCUUGGUGCUCUUUACUGAGUGCCCUGGGUGGCUAGCACGUUUACUUUGAAAAAAUUAGAGUGCUUAACGCAGGCUUUUGCCUGAAUAGUGGUGCAUGGAAUAAUGGAAUAGGACCUCGGUUCUAUUUUGUUGGUUUUCGGAGCACGAGGUAAUGAUUAAGAGGGACAGACGGGGGCAUUUGUACUGCUGCGUUAGAGGUGAAAUUCUUGGAUCGCAGCAUGACGAACAACUGCGAAAGCAUUUGCCAAGAAUGGUUUCAUUAAUCAAGAACGAUAGUUAGAGGUUCGAAGGCGAUCAGAUACCGCCCUAGUUCUAACCGUAAACGAUGCCAACUAGCAAUCCGUCGGCGUUAAUUCUGACUCGACGGGCGGCUGCCCGGAAACGAUAAGUUUUUCGGUUCCGGGGGAAGUAUGGUUGCAAAUCCGAAACUUAAAGGAAUUGACGGAAGGGCACCACCAGGAGUGGAGCCUGCGGCUUAAUUUGACUCAACACGGGAAAACUCACCCGGCCCGGACACUGUAAGGAUUGACAGAUUGAAAGCUCUUUCACGAUUCAGUGGGUGGUGGUGCAUGGCCGUUCUUAGUUGGUGGAGCGAUUUGUCUGGUUAAUUCCGAUAACGAGCGAGA